GAUGAACGCUGGCGGCGUGCCUAAUACACGCAAGUCGAGCGAACGGACGAGAAGCUUGCUUCUCUGAUGUUAGCGGCGGACGGGUGAGUAACACGUGGAUAACCUACCUAUAAGACUGGGAUAACUUCGGGAAACCGUAGCUAAUACCGGAUAAUAUUUUGAACCGCAUGGUUCAAAAGUGAAAGACGGUCUUGCUGUCACUUAUAGAUGGAUCCGCGCUGCAUUAGCUAGUUGGUAAGGUAACGGCUUACCAAGGCAACGAUGCAUAGCCGACCUGAGAGGGUGAUCGGCCACACUGGAACUGAGACACGGUUCAGACUCCUACGGGAGGCAGCAGUAGGGAAUCUUCCGCAAUGGGCGAAAGCCUGACGGAGCAACGCCGCGUGAGUGAUGAAGGUCUUCGGAUCGUAAAACUCUGUUAUUAGGGAAGAACAUAUGUGUAAGUAACUGUGCACAUCUUGACGGUACCUAAUCAGAAAGCCACGGCUAACUACGUG
rnacentral:rRNA from 1 species